GACGAACGCUGGCGGCGUGCCUAAUACAUGCAAGUCGCACGCAGUUACGAACAGGUGAGGAACGCGUAGGUAACUGCCUCAUAUCGGGGGAUAACUAGUGGAAACGAUAGCUAAUACCUCAUACUGUGAGAUUGACCUGUGUUGUAUUAGCUAGUUGGUGAGGUAAAGGGUCACCAAGGCGACGAUACAUGCCCGACCUGAGAGGGGGGUCGGGCAACCUGGGAAUGAGAAAACGCCCAGAACUCCACGGGAGGGCGCAGUAGGGAAAUUUUGGGCAAGGACGGAAGUCUGAACGAGCAAAGCCGCGGGAGUGAAGAAGGUUUUUGGAUCGGAAAGCCAUGUUGUUAGAGAAGCGGUAACUAACCAGAAAGGGACGGCUAACUACGUGCCAGCAGCCGCGGUAAUAC
rnacentral:rRNA from 1 species